CUCCUGUCCCCUCACUCAGGUAACACACACACACACACACACACACUCCUGUCCCCUCACUCAGGUAACACACACACACACACACACACACUCCUGUCCCCUCACUCAGGUAACACACACACACACACACACACUCCUGUCCCCUCACUCAGGUAACACACACACACACACUCCUGUCCCCUCACUCAGGUAACAUACACACACACACACACACUCCUGUCCCCUCACUCAGGUAACACACACACACACACACACUCCUGUCCCCUCACUCAGGUAACACACACACACACUCCUGUCCCCUCACUCAGGUAACACACACACACACACACACUUGUCCCCUCACUCAGGUAACACACACACACACACACACUUGUCCCCUCACUCAGGUAACACACACACACACACCUGUCCCCUCACUCAGGUCACACACACACACACUCCUGUCCCCUCACUCAGGUAACACACACACUCCUGUCCCCUCACUCAGGUCACACACACACACACUCCUGUCCCCUCACUCAGGUAACACACACACACACACACACACUCCUGUCCCCUCACUCAGGUAACACACACACACACACACUCCUGUCCCCUCACUCAGGUAACACACACACACACUCCUGUCCCCUCACUCAGGUAACACACACACACACACACUCCUGUCCCCUCACUCAGGUAACACACACACACACACUCCUGUCCCCUCACUCAGGUAACACACACACACACACACUCCUGUCCCCUCACUCAGGUAACACACACACACACACACUCCUGUCCCCUCACUCAGGUAACACACACACACACACUCCUGUCCCCUCACUCAGGUAACACACACACACACACACACUCCUGUCCCCUCACUCAGGUAACACACACACACACACACACUCCUGUCCCCUCACUCAGGUAACACACACACACACACACACUCCUGUCCCCUCACUCAGGUAACACACACACACACACACACUCCUGUCCCCUCACUCAGGUAACACACACACACACACACACUCCUGUCCCCUCACUCAGGUAACACACACACACACACACUCCUGUCCCCUCACUCAGGUAACACACACACACACACACUCCUGUCCCCUCACUCAGGUAACACACACACACACACACUCCUGUCCCCUCACUCAGGUAACACACACACACACACACUCCUGUCCCCUCACUCAGGUAACACACACACACACACACUCCUGUCCCCUCACUCAGGUAACACACACACACACACACUCCUGUCCCCUCACUCAGGUAACACACACACACACACACACACACCUGUCCCCUCACUCAGGUAACACACACACACACACACACACACCUGUCCCCUCACUCAGGUAACACACACACACCUGUCCCCUCACUCAGGUAACACACACAC